GAGUUUGAUUAUGGCUCAGGAUGAACGCUAGCGGCAGGCCUAACACAUGCAAGUCGAGGGGCAGCAUAAAACAAGCUUGCUUGUUUGGUGGCGACCGGCGCACGGGUGCGUAACGCGUAUGCAACCUACCCUGUACUGGGGGAUAGCCCGGAGAAAUUCGGAUUAAGACCCCAUAGCACUUAAGAAUGGCAUCAUUUUUAAGUUAAAGGUUACGGUACAGGAUGGGCAUGCGUCCCAUUAGCUAGAUGGUAAGGUAACGGCUUACCAUGGCAACGAUGGGUAGGGGGCCUGAGAGGGUGGUCCCCCACACUGGUACUGAGACACGGACCAGACUCCUACGGGAGGCAGCAGUGAGGAAUAUUGGUCAAUGGGCGCAAGCCUGAACCAGCCAUGCCGCGUGCAGGAAGACGGUCCUAUGGAUUGUAAACUGCUUUUAUUUGGGAAUAAACCUAUUUACGUGUAGAUAGCUGAAGGUACCAAAUGAAUAAGCACCGGCUAACUCCGUGCCAGCAGCCGCGGUAAUACGGAGGGUGCAAGCGUUAUCCGGAAUCAUUGGGUUUAAAGGGUCCGCAGGC
rnacentral:rRNA from 1 species